UCUACAUUUCAAAAAUAGAAAGCAGGAAUGAUCUGAAAUCAACAACUUAACAUCACAAUUAGAAGAACUAGAGAAGCAAGAGCCCACAAAUUCAAAAACUAGCAGAAGACAAGAAAUAAAUAAGAUGAAAGCAGAACUGACAGAGAUAGAGACAUGAAAAUCCCUUCAGAAAAUCAGUGAAUCUGUGAGCUGGUUUUUUGAAGAUUGACAAAAUAGAUAGACCUCGAACCAGACUAAUAAAUAAGAAAAGGGAGAAGAAUC